UUGCCGGGCUCCCCCGGGGAGAGGAGGAGGAGCUCGCAGCUGCCCUCCCGGAGCCAGGGUGGGCUCUGCCGGGAGGGGGAGAGGCGGCAGCGCAGCCCCCCCCCCCCGUGCGGCGGGGGACUGAGGAGCAGCAGCCCCGUUGGUCCCGGCAGCCCGGUGCAGAGCAAGGCAGCCACGCGGUGCAAAUGUUUCAACGCAGCCCCAAUCUACUCCAUCCAAGAGGCUAGUCCAGAUUAGAAGGCAGAAAAAAGGAACUCGGGACGACAUAUUCGCCGAGCUCAUGCAGUCCUCCAGCGCUGAUAGGGCCUCGCUGAAUGCGUGGUGGUAAACAAUUGCGCAGUCACGUAAUGCAUUACAGGAACACGAAGAGAGGAGGGACGUGCGCGAUGAGAGCAAGCAGGACACUAUGGUCGAGCUCAUGGGGGAGCAAACUGACAUGCUGCCCUGUAUGGUGGAUCUAAUGCAGGAAAGGCAGAAAGAUCACAGAUUGCCGCUGCUGCCCCUGUAUAACUGCCCUCCCUCCUCCCCAAGUUCCAUAGCCUCCUCACCCAGAUGCCCAAGAACACGACGGGGGAGGCUAAGGGGACUCACACACUCAACCCCAGAGGCUCACCCAAGCAGCAGAAAGUUGGCAUAUGUGAACUUUUGAUUUGGUUUCUGGACUUCUCCUUCCCUUCUUCUCCACCCCCAUAACCCAACCCCUCCUCCCCCCAUUUACCUUCUGAUUUCUCUCCAUGUGUUGUGCAAUGAAUACUAAAGAAUGGUUUUUAAACAA